rnacentral:lncRNA from 1 species
AGCCUCGUUCAGAGGGCCACACCCCACUCUCACCUUUCACCUUCUUCCUCUUGUAUGUUGAGCCUUUAAAACCCGUCCUAGUGAGAGACAAGGUCUGGAUUCCAGCAAUGUCUUGAGCCUCAUCAAGCACCACGGUACACACUAACUUUAUGUUUUAGGAUGAAGUUUGUGCUGUAAAUGAGCAUAACAGUAGGCAUAUUGACCUUAUCUUCCCUCUUUUGAAGUUCAUUUGAUUAGCAUUUAAAUGUCUGUCCAUGGUGUAGUUUUGAGCAUUAUAUUUCCAAACUGUUAUGGUAUUUUAGUUGCUGUAUAUUUAAGAAUUUACAUGCAUAAUAGUGAGCUCUAAAUGUUCCUCAAACACUAACUCAUGCUCCUUUGAUCACAUUUCGUGACACCUUGUGCAAACCCUAGUUCCUAAACUACACCAUUUGAGCCGGUUUCGGCCGUGUUUUUCCCACCUAAAGCUCUCAUCGUCUUGUGUCCCACAUGAGGUUAAUUCUGGCCUAUAUUUGAUGUGUGAAUAUUUUUUUCGUGUGGCAUGGUGUUUAUGCUUCCCAUGAUUAGAUCCAUUUCAUCCCUCUUGCGCUAUUGAUUGGAAGCAAUAAUAAUAGUUGUAUCGAAACUUUGCGGUACUCGUAUGGUGAUUGAGAAUUAUAUCUGUCUUCCAAAGUCAUAUCAAACGUGCACACACUUGAUCAUAUUUGUCUUUUAUUUUUCUCAGUAUAUUUUGAUUUGAAAAGUGUUGUAACGGGUGGUUUAAAAAACGAUUCGGUGCCCCGGAUCGAGCACCUCAAAAAUCCAUCCGGAUUGGUGAAUUGACAAUCUGGAUCGAGAAUCGACCGAAGCGAUCCUAUUAAGCCUUAAAAAAAAUCCAAAAAAAUUAUGAAAAUUCAUUAUAAAUGUUAUUUUUUAAGAAUCCAAAACGAAAUACGGGUAUUAUAUUAUUAACUUUCAUUUUUAAUCAAAUUGUGAAUAAUUAAGAUGUUCUUUUCCUAUAUGAACUUAUGUUAACCAUUAACAUCACAUAAAACAAAAAACAUAGAAUUACCAUGGAUAAAGUAUAUAAUCAUACAUAGACUACAAUAAAUAAUGGUUUAAAUCGAUAAAAAAUGGUCACUAACAUCUCGAAUUGGUAGAAAAACCUAAUCCACUAAAAAAAAAAAACCAAAUUAUUACAACCUAACUAACUAUAAUCCAAAAUUAUUACAACCUAUGUAACUAUAAUAUUAUAUAUUGCAACGAAAAUUGUUGGUUUAUAGUUUAUUAUAUAAACAAUAGCAAAUUUAAAAUAUUUUAUAGUAUCAUUUAAUUUAAAAUGUAUUAUUGACAACUGUAAGAAAAAUAUUACAAGAUUUAUAAUGCAAAUAAAUAAAUAAAAUAUUUGAUUAUCAAUAUAUAAAUUAUUCGAAUGUGCAUCAAUUUUCUAAAUAACACUUCAAAUUUUUUAAAAUAUAAUUUUUUAGAAUUCUAGAAUAAAUUUAAUGGAAGAGAUUGUUAGAGACAGAGAAAUAUUUCAAAUGUGUAUGAAUCAUAUCUUAAACUUAAUAUCCCUAAAUUUAUAGUAAAGCUUACCAUAUUAUAAAAAUAAAAAUUAUAAUUAGAUUAGUUAUUCUCAGUUUGUAUUAAAAAAUAUUUGUUGUAUUAAGAAAUAUCUUUUAUUUUUUUUGACAAUAAAUGCUUGUAGUAUUUUUUUUUUACGAGAAAAUAUGAUAUUUAUUGUAUUACUUUUUUUUUUUUUGACAAGAAAAAAAAGAAGAUGUUAUAUUACCUUUUUUUUUUUGCUUGUUAUAUUACUUUUUAUUUUUUUAUUUCUUUUAUCAUAUUAUUUUCUUCAUUUUAGUUUUUUUUUAAGACAAAAGAAAAAACCUAUCUUUUUUUUUUUAUGAAGACAAAUUUUAGUUUUUUUUUUUUUUUAAGACAAAAGUAAAAACCUAUCUUUUUUUUUAUAAUAUUAUUUUUAAAAAAAAUAUAUUUUAUGAUAUUAUUUUUUUAACUUUUUUUUAUAAAGACAAAAAGUGAAUUUUGCACAAUAACGUCCCAACUGGGAUUCGAAGCAUAAAACCUCUGCUGCCAACCACGCCAGCCUUACGCGCGCUGCUGAAGAGUUUUGUACAAUAAUUAUCUAUAUUGUAUAAAUUUUCAAUAUAAUAUCGCUUAGUGCAAGUCCCACAUAGAAGAAUUAGAGAAAGUCAAUAAGAUAUAAAUACCUUUACAAAAGCCUUAAUACCAGCGCGAUGGAGAGAAAAAGUAACCUGAAAUGAUAUUUUGAAAAAAAUUACCAAAAUGUCUUUAGGUAAGGACUCGCCCUGUGACGUAACUAAGCGGUUGGAAUUGCGAUUUAUAACGUAAUAGGGGCGAUGCGAUUUAUAACGUAAUAGGGGCGAUUCACGAUUCAAAAUCGUCGAUUCUCCUCUAGGAUAGGGCGAUUUUUUGUUUUACAAAAAAAUCGACAUGGGGUGCCCGAUUCUCGUGUCGAUUCGAACGAGUUCGUUGUGUUCGGGACACGGGAUGCUCGAUUCCCAUGUCGAUUCGGGCGAGUUCGUUGCGUUCGACUCGCCAAUUUUUGAAACCCUGCUAACAAAGCAAUGUUCAUUGUUGUAAAGUUGUAAUCGAAAGUUAUUUACUAGAAGAGAAGUGUACUUAUAAUUUUAUUAUUUUGUAGUGGUUGUCACGAUUUCCCCAAGGUUUGCUCAUCGUUGUAAAGUUGUAAUUGAAAGUUAUUUAGUAGAAGAUAAGUGUACUUAUAAUUUUGUUAUUUGUUCGUGGUUGUCAGGAUUUACUCGAGGUUUUGUAAGCUCUUUUGGAAGGGAAUUAAAAUUUUUUAUUUUGCACACUUUAAGUAGAGUCCUUGGUACUUCAAAAAUUUGAGGGGGACCACUUGAGACAAUAAAUGAGUGGCAAAAAAGUGGCAAACUAAGACAAUUCAGAAUUAAAGACAUGCACUUGAAUGCCUAGCACCCUUGGAAAGGUGAAUCUGUAAAAGAUAUCAAUGGGAACGACGCUGAUUCUGGGAUAGUUAUAUUUUGUUGAGUGGUCUCCAACAGGAAAUCUGUUCAUUCUAAAAUGGUUAUUUUUUUGUUGAGACCACCACAACGAAGUUACCCGACACUGCAGAUUAGACAUCUUCAGCUUAAACCUUUAUAUUUGGGUGCACGUUUCUGAUUGACUGGGGAAACGAUUAGGAAUUUGAAAUGAUAAUGAUUAUGAGAAUUUUGGCCAAUUCAAUUUCUCUUUCCACCUUUCACUCUUAAUCCUAAGGAUUUUGGGAGCAACGGCUUCCACUCAAAAUUUUCCUAAACGGUUUUCAACCCAUUCUUCAAGAGUUUAGAGAAGGCAUAAACGAAGUAACAUCAUGUACGGGCAGACCAACUCCCUCAUUUUUUAAAAAUAUGUUUUAGCAAUUUUGAAAAUAUAGAGAAAUUUUUAAAAACAGAACUAUGUACCUGACAUACAAUUUUAACAGAGAAAUUAAGAUUUUUUAACCAUAAGGUAUAUAAUUUUGAAAAUUUGAGAGUGAGAUUUUCAAAAAAUGAAUUAGCUAGUGGUUUAGGAUCAUGCUACUGUGGAGCAUUUUCUGAAAAAAAAAAAAAAGUAAAGGAUUUUUUAAAUGUUUUUGAAAAAAUACUUUUGAUUUUUUUUUUCUUCUAAAAAAACAAUAGUCAUACAGUUUAACCACUUGUGACCUUUUUGGUGGAACUUAUGACCUUGCUCAACCCUGACUAAGACUUUCAGGACAGGGAAUCAUCAAGUACUCCUUCAUCUUAAAUCCUCAUGUCACGAUCUAAAGACAAAUUCUUCAAAGUCUUCGAGCAAACUAGAAUUUCAGAAGAGGACAACCUUUCUAUGCUCCCCUACAGCAUAGAAGUUCUAUUCUUCCCCUACCAUCCAGCCGUCCAAUUUUGAUUAAGAGAGCAACUCAUUAUUUGAUCUUAGAUCCGACGUCUUAAAGUAUUUUAUUUUUAGUUUUUUUUUAUACAAAUUGUAUGAAAAUAUAAUUUGAUAUGUGCCAUCGUCUCAUUGGGGCGCACCUAUAAAAAAUAUUAAAAAUAAUUUUUUGAUAAAAUAUAAUGACCAAAAUACCUUUUCAAACUUUCAGAGGUAUUUUGAUCAUUUUAUUUUAUUGAAAAUAUAUUUUUUUAUAUUUUUCACUAGUGCGAGUUUAAUAGAGGAAUAAACGUCCAAAAUUUAGUGACAAAACAGUUUAUAAAAAAACUUAAAAAUAAAAUAGUGUAAAGACGUGAUAUUAUGAUUGGGGCAAUUUUAGCCCUCCAUUCAAAAUGAACGGUUGGAUAAGAGGGAGGAUAGAACUUCUAUGCUGCAAGGAAAGCAUAGAAACCUUUCCCUUCAAAAGAUAUAUGAUACUACCACAAAACAAAACAUGGGUUCUCCUUGACUUUCUCUCUAAUUCAUCCACUACUAACAUGGGUUCUCCUUGACUUCCUCUCUAAUUCAUCCAGUACUACCCGUGGAAGUUUAGAUGGUCAAAGUCCGUUAGGUCUACAUGGAGAGAUCUUUCCCAUGGUCUGUCGGACUUGUGCUCCUUGACUUUUACACCUUGAUUUCCUUUGAAAUAUUGUUUCUCUCUUUCUUAACUUUUGGGAAAUUUUUGGUGCCUUUCAUUUUGCUUGACUUUAAGAAAUCUUCUUGACUUUUGCUGAUUUUUUCCCAUUUUGCCUUUUUUUUUUUCUGCCUACAACAUGGAAUCGAGAGGUUUUCAAAUUUGAAAUCCCCUAAUCUAUCACUAUUAAACUAGUUAAUUUAAAAUUCCAUGGAUUAUGUUAAAUUUCGAUAUAGAGGCCAAUUAACAUGUGUAAUCUAAUAUUCUUUUAAAUCACCAGCAAUGCUGGCAUGAUCUUUUGCCAAAAAAAAGAAGAAUUCAUCUGAAAAUCAAAUCUAGCCAAAAUAAUCAAAAUUAACUUGAAAUUAAACAAAAAAGGGAGAGGAAACUUACUAACCUGGGGCAAUUGACUUGGGACCCUCGAAUUGGAGGAUAUUGCCCGUAUCAGGAUCACGGAUUAUUUAGACCUAUUGCUUUCCAUUUUCUCUUUGAACUUGAUUGAAUUCCUUUUUUGAAAUUUGUUGGAAAUUUUGACUAUGGGUGGUUGAAAGAGGCUCAAAUUGAUUUAGGAUUUUGUAGUUUAAAUCUAGAAUCAUAAAUCUUGCAUCUAGGGCUUGAAGGCUAAGGCUCUAGGGCUGAGGUUCAGAAGAUCUAAGUUAAGGUUUUAUUCUUUUGAAUCAGGGUUUGAAAGAUAGGGUUAGAGGCUCUAGAGGGAUUAAGUCUUCGAAUUCUAAGAUUUCUAUCUAAGAUUGGGCGUUGAGGUCUAAACUUAUGCAUUUUUGUUGUCAAUGUCCCAAAUUGGAUCCUUUAUAUAGACUUCAAAAGUUGGUUCCCAGUUGGUUUGGAAAUAUUCUUACACUGGAUACUUUUGGAAAUUUGAUCUAACUGGGUCAAAGUGGAUGAUGCGUACCGCGUUGUUUGGGCCAAUUUUGGUCAGAUGCCACAUGAUGCCGUGUCUAUAGCUUCUCGGCUCUAGUCAGCACAAAUUUUGGGAUGCCAGGUUUAGACACCGCAAUACAUUUCAUUUGGGGGGUCUUCUAGUCUAGAUGGCACACAUUGCAGCAGGGGUUCUUAGGUUUGUAAGAGCCUAAUUUUUGGGGUAUUAGGAUUAGACGCGACAGACUGUGGCGUCUAGACAACACGUAUUGUGGCAUCUGGGACCCUGAUUUCUCAAAUUUCAUGAUUUUGCUGAUCUUCAUGAUUUUGACUCAAAUUUUAUCAUUUUUUUAUUGGAUUUAUCUCGAAACCUUCUAUCCUAAGUCGGUUUUGCUAUUUUCUAAGAUUUCAAGAUAACUAUCUAGAUAGGUUGAUUUCCUAGGGUUUUAUGAUUUGUUAGGAGAUUCACUAGGGUGUUUGAGAAAGAUAGGACCAUAGUUCAUAGGAUUAUGGAUAAAAAGGUAUCCUAAGGUGUAAUUCGAUAACAUGGUCCCUAAAGGUUUACUAGGUAUUUCUAAGGCACUGUUAGGGAUUUAGAAAUUAGUAAAACUAAAAAAAAUAGCCAAUUUCAAAUUGGGGCGUCUACAUUUCUUUCUUUUCUUUUUUAUUUCUUUUUUCUUGUUAUUUUUCUUCUUUUUUUCAUUGCUCGGGUUUCCUUUAGGCUUUACAACCUGGCGAUCUCUCUCCCUCUCUUUUUUGUUUUUGUUUAUCAUGUGAUUUGGCAUUGAUGGAUGGAUGAGGCUUUCUGACUUUGAAACUUGCGUGGUUUUUUGCCUUUGAUCUCCUUGCUUGAAGAGAGGGUCUUCUUUAACCUUUGCGGAAUUGGCGGGGCUUCUCUUAAUAUGGCAUUUCAUCUUAGGAUUGGGUCAAGACUUUCUUGUGUUCCCAUGGAAACGAUCUCUCCUUUCAUUCUCCAAGGAGGGAGAUUCUAAUCUUGGUUGCCAUCCGAUUUCCCUUGCCCCUAGGUUUACAUCUAGCAUCUCUUAGGAGAUGGUUGCUGACCUUGUUGAAUCCCAUUUAGACUACUCCACUCGAACCUGAACUAUCCGAUUUAGAAUCACUUUUAGCUUUCUAGUCCUUCAGUCUUUCACUUUGCUUGGUUAAGCCCAUAAACAUUCCCUAUGAGAGAGCAAUUUUUGCUCAGAAGAAAGGAUGAAUUGAUUUAUCUACCCUUGUUAUGUUACCAAUAAUGGGAAUAUAAUCGCUUCCUUGUGGACUCAUUUUUUCUAUCUUAAUCAGGAUUUGCUUUUGAGUAGUUAAUUGUUUGGUUUUUCUCAGUACUAUACACACAGAGCUAAGGAAAUUCUCAUCAUUUUGUUUUUGAGGAUCCAUAGCCAUGGGAUGUGAGCAAACUUAUCAUCUUGAUCUUCAUUUAUCGAAUUUUCCUGUCGGAUUUUCUUGUACUUCAAGGUCAUAUUGGGUGAUAUUUAGGCUUGAGCAAAGAUUUCGACUCAUCAGUUUUGCUUAGAUUGACGUGGGCUACAAUCUUGUCCUCUUCACAUGUCAUAGUGGUAUCAUCUAGCUUUCUUGAGUUUGCCAUGAGUGAGCCUAUCUACAUCCCUGGACCACUGGGAAGGUGAUUCUGAUGGGAUGGCCAUCUAACUCUUCAAUCAUCACCUCGCUAAGGUCACAACCAGAUAACGCUUUAUCAUGACAGCAGAAUGGAUUCAAAGGAAUAAGGGUGAGAUUUGCUGAAAAAGAACUUAAUUGCAGGUGAUGCAGUCUCCAUGGCCAUGCAGAUCUAGGAGGAUUCAGAAAGCAUACAGUCAACAACCAUUGCUGCUACCUCUUAGUGAAAUUUGGACAAAUGUAAUAUAGCUCGGUGUAUGUAUUUCUUUGUUUAAUCUCUUUCUUCACUUUUCCUUUUUCUUUUCGGGCUAGAUCACAUACAAAUAGUCUAUUACAAUAAAUUGAAUUGAAAAGAAACAAAAGGAAAAUAAAAUUGAAUCUAAAACUUGAUGCCACUAAAAUCACUCUUUCAUUAAUUAAACAAAAACCACAAUACUAAGCUUGAGAAUAACAAAAGAUAAAAGUAGUAAGUAUGACAAGAAACAAGAAAUAGGAUGUCGAAGAUUACCUCAACCAUGCUUAAUCCACCCCACACCGAGUCACCACCUCCAAUGGCGCAGGGUCAAUAGUCAACAUCAAUCUCCAAGAUCGGAAAACAUAUAGGCCAAGCCUCCAAUAGAACAAGAACUCUUAUCACAAGGCUUAGAUCUCUAACUAAGCUCUUAACCCCUUAAGCGCCUAAAUGAGAGGUAGGAGCUUCUCUUAUACUAAACCCUUAACCCAUAGGUCAUGGGAGAGAUAGAAGAUGAGAGAGAGAGAUGAACAUAACCUAAGUUAGGUUUAUGUGGGGCGUGCCCCUUUCAUGAGAAGAGACAAAGAGAGAGAGCUACUCCAUGUGGGGCGUGCCGACAAUAGUGUGUAGAAGAGGCCAAGUGCCGCGUGUGUAGAAGAGAGAGAAGAAAUGGAAAACACAGGCGGCAGUGAAGAGAGUGAGUGGUAGUGAAGGGAGCGUGCGACAGUGAAGAGAGGAGAGCACGCUGCAGUGAAGAGAGCGCGCGGCAGUGAAGAGAGCACGUGACAGUGAAGAGACAGAAGAAAUGCAAAACGCAUGUGGCAGUGACGAGAGUGUGCGACAGUAAAGAGAUAAGAGCACGUAGCAGUGAAGAGGAAGAAGAAGAAAACAUGUGCGACAAUGAAGAGAGAGAAGAAGGAAAAGACGUAUUGUUGUCAUACGUGUCAGCGUCGCACUUGUCAAUAUCGUGCAUGUCAGCUACAGUGACAUCUCCACCUUCUCGGUCAACCACAGUGGAUCCCACCUACCCUUGGGUACUUAAAGCCCUCUCCCCUUCCUUCUCACUGUGGUUUGCUCCUUGCUUUCCCUCUCAAGAUCCCAAGGUUAGAGUUCCUUGCUGUUGCCAUUGGAACACCAUUGCUUGGAGCUUGAAGUGGCCUGCGAGUGGGAGUUUUGGAGGCAUUGUAAUCAUCAGGUAAGUAGGUUUAGCAUCUAUGCACCAACAAAUAUUGUAGAAAUC